rnacentral:rRNA from 1 species
AAAUGACUCUCGGCAACGGAUAUCCCGGCUCUCGCAUCGAUGAAGAACGUAGCGAAAUGCGAUACUUGGUGUGAAUUGCAGAAUCCCGUGAACCAUCGAGUCUUUGAACGCAAGUUGCGCCCGAGGCCUCGGUUAAGGGCACGUCUGCCUGGGUGUCACCU